rnacentral:misc_RNA from 1 species
CAACCAUCAAGCCUACGGCUUGCGUUGGGGGCCUGCGGAGACGCAGCCCCCGAAAAGCAGUGGCGGGCUCGCUGUCCACACCGAGCGUAGUAGCAUUCAUGUCUCGCUCCGGCGUGCGGCGCGCACCGGCCGUUAAAACCGCCCCCGGGCACCCAA